rnacentral:rRNA from 1 species
ACAGCAGCCGCCGCGGUAAUACAGAGGGUGCGAGCGUUAAUCGGAUUUACUGGGCGUAAAGCGUGCGUAGGCGGCUUCUUAAGUCGGAUGUGAAAUCCCUGAGCUUAACUUAGGAAUUGCAUUCGAUACUGGGAAGCUAGAGUAUGGGAGAGGAUGGUAGAAUUCCAGGUGUAGCGGUGAAAUGCGUAGAGAUCUGGAGGAAUACCGAUGGCAAAGGCAGCCAUCUGGCCUAAUACUGACGCUGAGGUACGAAAGCAUGGGGAGCAAACAGGAUUAGAGACCCCCGUAGUCCCUGUCUCUUAUAA